CCCCCGAUAGCUCAAUGGUAGAGCACCCGUGCACUUUACGGGAGACGUUGGUUCGAGUCCAACUCGGAGGA
rnacentral:tRNA from 1 species